rnacentral:rRNA from 1 species
AGUAACACGUAUCCAACCUGGCCUUUACAAUGGGAUAGGCUUUCGAAAGAAAGAUUAAUACUGUAUGUUCCGUGAUCUCCGCAUGGGGAUUCCGGCAAAGAUUUAUCGGUAAAGGAUGGGGAUGCGUUCCAUUAGGCAGUAGGCGGGGUAACGGCCCACCUAACCGACGAUGGAUAGGGGUUCUGAGAGGAAGGUCCCCCACAUUGGAACUGAGACACGGUCCAAACUCCUACGGGAGGCAGCAGUGAGGAAUAUUGGUCAAUGGGCGAGAGCCUGAACCAGCCAAGUAGCGUGCAGGAAGACGGCCCUAUGGGUUGUAAACUGCUUUUGAAGGGGAAUAACAGGAUCUACGUGUAGAUUUUUGCAUGUACCUUUCGAAUAAGGAUCGGCUAACUCCGUGCCAGCAGCCGCGGUAAUACGGAGGAUCCGAGCGUUAUCCGGAUUUAUUGGGUUUAAAGGGUGCGUAGGCUGGGCUUUAAGUCAGCUGUGAAAUCCCGACGCUUACCGUCGGCACUGCAGUUGAAACUGGAACCCUUGAGAGUGCAAGAGGCAUGCGGAAUUCAUGGUGUAGCGGUGAAAUGCAUAGAUAUCAUGAAGAACCCCGAUUGCGAAAGCAGCAUGCUGGGGCAUAUCUGACGCUGAGUCACGAAAGUGCGGGUAUCAAACAGGAUUAGAUACCCUGGUAGUCCGCACAGUAAACGAUGAAUACCAGCUGUUGGCGAUAGACAGUCAGCGGCGUAAGCGAAAGCGUUAAGUAUUCCACCUGGGGAGUACGCCGGCAACGGUGAAACUCAAAGGAAUUGACGGGGGCCCGCACAAGCGGAGGAACAUGUGGUUUAAUUCGAUGAUACGCGAGGAACCUUACCCGGGCUUGAAUUGCAACCGAAUAAGCGAGAGAUCGUUUAGCCGCAAGGC